rnacentral:rRNA from 1 species
UACGUAGGGUGCGAGCGUUGUUCGGAAUUAUUGGGCGUAAAGCGUAUGUAGGCGGCUAGGUAAGUCAGGCGUGCAAGCCCGUGGCUCAACCACGGAAUUGCGUUUGAAACUGCUUAGCUUGAGUACAGGAGAGGAAAGCGGAAUUCCCAGUGUAGCGGUGAAAUGCAUUGAUAUUGGGAAGAACAUCUGUGGCGAAGGCGGCUUUCUGGUCUGUUACUGACGCUGAGAUACGAAAGCCAGGGGAGCAAAGGGG